AAAUUAUUUUCUAAAAAGUAUUUUUCAUCAAAAUAUUUUCCUUCAUACCAAACACACCCAUAGAGUUCAAUCAAAUCCGUAGCUCAACUUCUAACUUUCCCCUAGAAGUGUCGGUAGAGUUUGUUUGUGUUGGGCGGGACAAGAGGAGGAAAAAACCACAUGACGAAAACAUGCAGCAUAGCAAAGGCAACGCACAGUUGACACGCAUAUCAGUUCUUGGAGGACUAAAAAGGAGACCAAUCAUGUGGCACUUGGGUCCUACUACUAAUUAAAUUAAUUUACUCCCCCUAUCUCUUCGCCUAAGAUAACGUUUAUUUCAUAAUAAUGAGUACUUAAUACAAGUAAAUAAUUUAUAACAAUAUGAGUUGAUCACGUAAUUUAAUAUUGUUUAGUCAUGUGAACAAUUUGUAACAAUAUGAGUUGAUCAUGUAAUUUAUUGUUUAGUACGUAAAUAAUCCAUUUUAGUUAUGAAUUAAAUGAUUGGACUCAGGGGCGGCACAAUAAAUAUGAUGGCCUAAAGCAAAACUUCACUGAGGGGUCUUAAGAUUUUAUUACAAAAUAAUAAUAACACGUUAGUAUAUAAUAUUACUUGGAGUCUAUUUUUCUAGUUUCUUCCUCUAUUCUAAUUUAUAUGAUAUCUUUCUCUUUUCCGAAAUUCAAACCUUUUGACUUUUAAAAUGUGCUUAAACAUAAAUUCUUUAACUUUUUGAAAAUUCGAAACGGCACAUAAAUUGAGAUAAAUAGUGUUUUAUCCUCUUCAUUUUGUUCUAAAAUAGGUAUGUAUUGGAGAUUAAGGAAAGAAUUUGUGUAGUCUUUCAAAAUUAAUCUUGUUUUAGUACUUUCUUCAUUUCAUUUUACUUAACCUCUUUUGACUUGACACACCCAUUAAAAAAAAUAUUAAUUUGAGUUUAUUUUGUAAAAUUAACCCUAUCAAUGAUGUCUUGAAACUCGAAAUCUAACAAUUACUAUUUCCUUUAAUCAUUUAAUACCGAGGGUAAUAUGGGAAAAGAAGUAAUAAAACACCCUUUAUUUGUGAAAAAUGAACAACUAAUGUGAAAAAACCAUAGUUAGAAAGAAGAUCAAGUAAAAUGAUACCGAGGGGAUAUAUGAAAUUUUAUACCAUUAAAGAGUUACUUUUUUCGUCAAGGCAUUUAAUUAAUUGGAAGUAAGUUAGUAAAAAUACUUUUUAUUUUCAAUAAUAAUUUAUUUUUCAAGGAUUUUCUCAAAUUAGAAACACUAUUUAUUUAUAAACGAAAUUAUAUACACAUAUUAAAAAAUUUAAGGGCCCGAAAAUUCGAGAUCUAAAGCAGCGGCUUUAGUUGCUUUAGGCGUGAGCCGGCCUUGAUUGGACUCACUACUAGAAAUUAUCCCUAUUGCAACAGAUUUUUUAGCAACGGUUCCAAAAGCAUUACCAUAGAGGGUCUAUUGCAACGGUUUCAACCGCUGCAAAAGAAAAUUGUUCUAAUAUAACUAUUUCAUGCUAUAACCGUUGUUAUUGUUUGAUAACCAUUGCAAUAGGGUAUUUUAUAGCAACGGUUGUCUGAACCGUUGCCAUAGAAUCAACUAUGGCAACGGUUUUUUGAAAAAAAGAAGCUAUCCCAUCGGUUUCUUUAUUCCCACCACAAAAUUUUGUUGCCUUUUUAUAAUUUCACAUUGUCUCAAACCAAAAAAAAUCACCAAAUCGAAUCCGCCACUGCUCCGACCACCAUCCUACUGCUCCGACCACCAUACUUCGAUCAUCAUACCACUGCUCCGACCACUGUAUCACUACUCCGACAACCGCACCUUAAUUUCGAAGCUGCUCCAACCACCACUUCAAAAAGCUGGAAAGUGUGACCACUAUACCUCGAUUUCAAAGUUGCUCCACUGUAGAACAAAACAUCCAUGUCUAAGCUUCGAUUUAAUGUUCAGAAGAUUGAUGAAUCAUUGAUGUUGUCACGAUGAAAAAUCCAUAUCGAACCUGGCACUCGCGAGAAAGCUGUCAUUCUGUUGGAUUGUUUAAUCUUGGAAACACAUGCUACACGACUCUACAACGCAAUGUUUGCAUUCAGAUCCGGAACUGAAGUCUUCUCUGACCGAGUACCGGGUAACUCGAUGUACCAAGGAUUGGUCUAAUGAGAAGAAAUCACUGAGUGUUUUCUUUUCUGCUAAGAUUUGAACCUUGGUCCCUUAAGGUUAGAGAUAUAGGUCUGAUUCUUGAUAUGAUGGCAGUAAUGUUAGAGAACAUCACAAGUAUCCAAGUGGUAGCAAGAACUACUAUUGCUGCUGUUUACCGUGCUUCUCAAAUCAUAGCUUUUAUGCCAAAUUUGUCAUACCAAAACAAAGCAUUCCCAGAGGAUUUAUUUCAUCAGUUACUCCCUGCUAUGGUCCACCUGAUCACGAAACGUGCGUUGGAGCUCACCGAAUCUUUUCUUUUGUCCUUGUUCCAUCUUCUGUUUCCCCUCAGAAGGUAUCGAAGGAAACCCGCCUAAGGAAGGCAGCAGAUUUUUCAAGAGCACUCUCUAGAACUGUUUCUGUCUUCUCUUCUUCAGCUGCUCUUUUUGGAAAGUUAAGAGAUUAGAGGUCUUCUUCACAAAGGUCUUCGUCACUCGAGAAGGGUAAUAUUGAAAUGGAACAGAAAGGUAAUAAUAGUGGGAUGCUCAAUAGAAUAAAGUCAACAUAUAGCGUGAGAGGGUCUCCUGCAUCUGUUGAAGAGUCUACAAACAAACCAAUUAGCUAAGUGGUAGGUUCUGUAACCAUCUUCACCAUCUUAGUACAUAUAGCUGUUACUCCUAGAUUCCUUUGCAUGAUCCAUUCCUUAGCACCUUUUGCAUACGUAUCUUAUAUUCAUGCUUAUUUAUAUCAUUCUAAUUGCUGGAAAUUUCUUGAAAGGUGUUGUUCAUAUUGUAAAAUAUUGUCUGGAAUAAUCAUUUGAAGCAAAUCGAGGGCACAUGUCAGAGAUACAAGGUAAGUGAGGUUGAUGUAUGCAUUUGAAGCAUUUGGUAUUUGUUGUUGUUGUUAAGCUGUUCAUUUGGUAUUAGAUGAUAGCAGUGUUACAAAUCCUAGAUGUUUAUAAUCCUUUGACCUGUUAGUGUAACAUGAAAGUUGUACAUCAUUUUGAUACCUUGUUUUACAUGAUUGAUUCCCUACAAUAUACAUAGGAGAUAAGGUCUUUCAAAUCAUGGACAGAUUUCAGCACCCUCUUGGUGAUAGUUUUGUUGAUAAAAUGUACUAAUAGAAAAUGGAUUACAGGAAAUAGUCAAGAAAACUAGUAGUUAUGCAUCUCUGGCGAGUUUUGUUUCAGAGAGUGGAACUACAAUAUGCAAAAUUAAGGACUACAUUGAUAGCAAAUGACAGAAACAACUUGUAGCCCGAGUGCAUACCAGUAUGGGGCUUCCUUUGGCGCUUAUUAUGACCUGCAAGACAUUUUCUGUAACUCUGUUUGCCAUCAUCGAACUCAGCCAGUAGAUAAAACCUAAGUAAAAUAUCAAGACUAAAUUCUGCCUUGGUAGACACAAGUAGUACCUGUUGUAUUCUUUUAGCUGGAAAAAUGGACUCAACAGUAGUGAAACUAGGCAUACUCUUAGAGUACUUGAAGAUAUUUGCACUAACAUGAUCAGGAAACCUUCCAAGUUUCAAAUCAAUAAGUGAUGAGUUUUUAGAAAUUGAACCAGACUUAUCUUCACCAGAAAGUACUCUUGCCACUGAACCAAAAAUGUUGCCAACACCUCUCAUUUAGUCACUAACAUUGGUUUUCUCAUCAAAUUUUGAUCUGAAUAGCUCCUCAAUUGUGUGUUGCAUUUUGAAUGUUUGUAUCUAAAUGCUUAAAGAAUGUAUGGUAUGAACAGUGCCAAAAAAGCGUCUACUUGUUGUAGUACCCCGUUUUCUACGUGGAAGGCGGGAUUAGACUUGACAAACUCUUUUUGGGAUUGCGUUGAAAGAAGGGUGUGAGAGUCAUCACCUAACGUAUUAAGGUGCGUUAGGGCACCGGUCUAGGAUACUACGAACCUAUUUUUGGUUAUUAAGUCUUAGUUCACCAGAGUUCGGGAAAGGGUUCAAAUUACCUCAAAAGAAAGGUGUUAGGCACCUUUCGAGGUCCACAAAGGUGGUUCCUGGCCGAAUUCAUACUUUACGUGGGGAUUGUGCGUGAUCAAGUAAAGUCUCUUGUUUUAUUAUUAAUUUAAAAGACAAGUAAUGAAAUAAUUAACAAACAAACACAUAUUAUUUGUUAAUGCUAAUUGUCGAUUAUCUAGGUGAUAAAAUAAAUAGAAACAUGGAAAUAAGAUAAGUGAGGAGAAAGAAACAACAUAAUUUAUAAUAAAAAGGGAACUGCUUUAUAAUAAACUAACUACCCCAAAUAAACAUGUAAAAUAAUUAAAAAGACUAAAAUAAAUUGUCCAACUCAAACAAAGAGAUGUUUUGGUUUUAUUCGGAUCAGCUCCAACUUAUUUAAUCAUUCAACCUAAGGGCCGAACUUGUAGACAAGUGAAAUUGUCAUUAGCCUCGCUGUUAAUAUUUUGUUGGGAUCAUCAUUUCCGAAAAGAGCUACCCGUCCCACCCCACCUAGGAUGGCUAUCAUGUCUAAGGUCGUUCUAUGACAAGGAUAAAACUAACGUUUUUAGUAAUAUUUAAUGUCCCCACUUAUCAUCCAAGAUGCGUUGGAAUUUACUAUUUUGGAUUUAUGUUCUAGACUAAAAGAAAGCUAUGUUGCCUAGGACUCGAAGCGCGAACACAUUAGACAACAAGUACCAUGUAAUAAUCCCAAGUUAGCCUCUUGAUUAGUUAAUGUUAAUUAAUGUGAUGACAUGCAAAGAUGAGAAAAUUAAAUUAUCAUUAACCUAUAGGCAUGGUGUCUAAAUGUUCAACGAGUAGCAAUAAAGGACGACUGUGAUUCGCGUAUGCAACAUCAUUAUGCGUGUUUAUGAGAGGUGUUAAAAGUGUGGUAAAUGUGUCAAACAAAAAUGUGCUUAUGAAUUGAUUGUUGUAAAAUAUGAAUGAGAACAUAAGAAAUCAACAAGAAUAUUAAAAGGCAUUAACAUGUUAAGGAUGCCAUAAUACUUAUUCUAGUGUUUAAACAUAUCGAAAAGUGCUCAAAAGUAUGUAUUUUUAUAUAACAGCAGUUGUAUUAUUGCAGAAAUUUCAUAGUGAUAUACUGAAAUUAGAUUUGUUGUGCCAAAAUUGUAUUCUUAAUGGACAGUGAAUUAACGCGUGGGGGGAGAAGAAAUUUAAUGUAAAUACGCCAAACAUGCUCAAAUAAACUAUUUAACCUACUGAAAGUCUGUUAACAUGUUAAAAAUACAUUGACAAAGUUGUUUUAAUAUAGACAUGCUGGAAACUUGAUUUGUUGAAAAAUAUUAAAUAAGUUUGUUCAACAUGCUGAAAAUGCUCAAGUAGACUAUUUAACAAGUAGGAAAUGUAAUAACUUGCAGGUUAAGAUAUGAAAAAUGCUUGAAUUAAUUGUCAGUCAUGUAAGAAAAUAUUACUGGGUCUAUGAUCAAUUUUAAUGUACUAACAUGUCGAAAAUCAAUUCAACGUGAUAGAAAUACAUCAAUAUUCUCAAUGUCGAUAUAAGGUGUCGAUUUUAGUUAGAUCAAGGAUGAUUAAUAAAUCAUAGAAAAUGAUUCCUAUGUUAACAAGUAAUAAUUUUGUGCCUAAGUGACCCAUGUAGCAUGUAAUACACGCAAAGCCUAGAUUGUGCCUAUCUAUGCCAUUCAAAGAGCACGUAAAUCCCCGCCCUCCAAAACAGUCCACAAACUUAUAUUAUUACAAUAAUAAGAAUAAUGUUUUACAAUAAUGUUACAGACCAAAGAAAAAUAAAGGAAAAACACCUAGUUUAAUAUUCCGGCGGCUCUUCGGUGCUUGAAACUUGUUAAACACAGUGAGACAGCAUGGCAAGCACAAAGAGGCAAACGACAAUAUACGAAUAUGUCUCAGAUAGUUGCACAAAAGAAGCCAGAUCAUAGCAAACAAGAACAUCAUUAUUCUGCAUUAGUCCGUAUAGACAUGCUUUCUAUGUAUGUAAGUACAUCGACACGAAAUUUACCAGCAAGUAGCAGUAAAAGAGACGAUGAAAUAAGAAGCAAAGUUAAGUUGAAAGUAUCCUUUCCUAUUUAGUUUCGGGAUAAGUUUAAACUAGGGUCAACUUAAAAUGAGCACUUGUCCUAGAAUAUAAGGAAAUAUGGGUCCUAAUGCUUACCAAAUUAAAUAUCUUUGAGGCUUAUUUUCAACGCAAUCGAUCGUUCAUCAAUCCGCUUUCUGAGUAAAAAGUUAUGACCGUUUUACUGAAGACUGUCCGUGUUGAAAAAGCUAAGGUCACUAUAGCAACACACUUGUCCUUAUAGUAAUAGCAUAUUGCUAUAGUGAUGAUACAACAGCUUAUAACCCAUUUUUGUUCGGUUUCAGCCCCCCAAACCCAAAAUUUCACUCCUAAGUCCUAGAGGGGUAAUUUUUUCUUGGUACGGGUGAAAAUUCUUCAUUGAGGUAAGUUUCUUUCGUCAUCUUCUUCGUUUUAAUUUCAAUUCUUUAACAUCAUAGAAUCAUUAGAACAACCUUUAAUGCUGAAAUUCUUGGGAAUUGAACGCUAAGUUCAUGAUAUUUUGGGAAAAAUUGAUAGGUUGAGUUAAUAUCACCUAGAAUCACUUUUAAAUUGUUAAUUAACAAUCCCUAGCAUGAAUUAGUGAUUCUAAAACAUGAAAAUUGAUAGUUGGAGAUCUUGAACUCAAUAAAGAUGGGACAUUUAGCCUAAAAACUCCAUUAAUGGCGUUGGGUUGAGCUUGAAGGAACUAUUUUGAUGUAUAAUUGACCCUUGAGUAAUGUUGUAGACCCCUAAAUAAGGGUAGAACUAGCGGGUUUAAAUUUUCAAAGUAUUUAUUUGAAGAGUAGUUUAUUAAUUACUCUUAUAAUUAUUAUUUAUAGAUGAUUAGUCUUCGAAAAUGUGAAAAAUAAGGAUGAUCAUCCAUGACAUGCAUAGCUUACUUGUUGUAACAGCUUGGCGCCAGAUAGGUGAUGUCGCCUAAAUUACAACUCUCAGAAAGUAUAAAGCAGUCACUAAAUUAAAUAUAGAAUCCGAUAAGAAUGGGGUCUUACCCAAAGAGAAUAGGAUAAAAUUCGAUCACGUAUUUGUCCAGGUAAUUGGUAAUUAAGUAAAAGAAGGAGGGAUUUUUCUGAAAUAGAAAACAUCCGAACAGUUGUUGUUCUAAUUUGUAAUCAAUAUGAGAUGAGCAUUAGGAUUGUUAUCCCCGUGAUUUCAUAACUCCACAAAUUGCUUGUGCUAGCAACUACCCUAAUGCAUUUCACGCAAAAUCUAACAAGAUAGGCUCAUAUAAACGUCUUCCAACCUUGAUUAGAUAAAUUUCACUUGACUCUUUUCGGACUCGGAGUAUUGCACAACUAACUCUUAUUCUUGAUCUUAGAUUAACUAUUCCUGUUACGGCUCUAAUUAUUAGAUGAAGGUUGAUAACUUCAAAUCUUUAUUGUUAUUUUCUUUUCCUAAUCUAUACCUCUCUCCCAUGCAUGUUUUGAAUACAUAUGAGUUCCUAAUAUAUGCAUUCAUUAGACGAGCAAUUAUAAUGAAGGAAAUACCAACACAUGAAAAUGCAACAGUUUAGAUUUGCCUCACACUUAUUUUAAUUUGUUAAUUCACCAUGAUAAUCAAAACCCUAGUUGUGGUUUUUACAUACUAAUAAUUGCAAGAACACAAGAAUAAUUCAUAAAUGUAAGCACUGUCAUGGACUUACAAUGAGAAUGAAACUUCAAAAUUUCAACGUUAAUUAAAAUCCUAGAAAUGAUGUUUGAAAUUUCCAUGAAUAUGCCUUAAACCAUACAAAAUAAUAUUGUCAAAUCAAAAUAGUGUCUAACAUGCACUACAAAAAAAACUGCGUUUAGCAAGAGACCGAUAACAUUGCUAAUCAGCAGAAAUCCAUCGCUAAAUCCAUUUAGAGACGGAUCAGCGACAAAAUAUUAUUUGUUGCUAUAUUGCGCGUUGCUAACCAUUUAGAAAUGGAAAAAUAAAAUCCGUUGCUAGAUUUGCAACGGAAUAGAGACGUCCUAUAUCCGUUGCUAUAUUUUAGCAAUGAAUAUAUUCGUUGUUAUAUUUAUAAGUGUCGUUACUAAUUUCAUGUUGUAUUUCGUCAUUUUGAUUAUUUUCUAACCAAAUAUUUCAUUGCUAGUCCGUCGCUAGAAAUUCUCAAUUUUUGUGACAAAAAAUAUUUUCCUCAAUCCGUUGCAAAUGUUUUAGUUUGGUAAUGAGUAAUUUUGUCGCUAAAUCUGUCGUCAUUACUUUUCUUUCAAUAUCUUUUUAUUUGUAUUUUGAAUAUUAAUAGAAUAUUAUAAAAUUCUUAUAAUACCCAGUAUUCACAUAAAAAAAGCCACAUAUAUAUAGAUAGCAAAAUCUUCUUAUAAUAUCCAACAUGCAUAUUAAAGAACCCAUAUAUAUAGAUAGAAAAAGUCUAAACAUCCUCAAUACCAAACAUAGCAACAUCUAAACACGUAAGUAUGUCCAAAAUAUCCUCAAUACCUACAUCCAUCAAGUGUAAUUUUUUGUUGAACAAUUUUAAACGUUUCAAUAAAAUAGACCAUCAAAAACCAACAAAAUAGACCAUAAAAAACUAAUGCACUGAUCGUCAAAGGUAUCAUAAUUGAUCAAGAUCAUUGCAAUCAUCAUUUAAGGAAUCGAGAUAGUCCAAAGGAGUAGCCGGAGGUGUGACAACUGAUCGUGAAGAAACCAACUUUUGUACCUCUUCAAUGACAAUAGGAAAAAAUUAAUUUUUAAGUGCGGAAAUCAAUCGCUUCACAAACUCAUCCAAAUCUGAAUUUGCAGCUGGUACCGAUUCAUGUGAAGCUGAAGAUGAAGUCUUUCCACAAGAAAUUCACAGAGUUUGUCUGUAGUAGCCUUUGGCUUCAGAUCCAAGACCAAAUACUCUUCGCUUCUUUUCUCCUCUGGCAGCUUGGUAAUAUGCUUCAAUUUGAUCAAUAAUAGAUUUUGAUAAUGUUUUUUCUCGUAAUAUUUCGUCAAAUCUUUCCUGUAAUAGUGGAAGUCAAAUUAUAAUGGAUUGUACUUACAAAUGAUUAGAUACAAAAAGUACUUUAAACUAAAAAAUGAGAAUUAAGUAAACUAUUACAUUAAGGUUUAAUCUUACAUGGACGAUUCGGGAACAUUCAUCAACGAAAGAUUUUCCAUCAUUACCAUGUGUGUGAACAUGAAAAUGUUUGCUGUCGGAUCUCGACCCAUUUCAGCAGCCUGUAAAAAAGAAGUGUUAAGCAUUGUACUAGAACAAAACUGCUGGAACAUUUCAUGUAAGCUAGAAAUAUUUGCAAAGCCAUAAUUCAAGUGGAACGUAGUUGGUCAUCAGGUAAAUAUUAUUAGUCGCGCGGUCAGAACUAUGUUAUCCAGUUUACAUUGUUCUUACUAAGCAAUGAUUGGAAAGAGAUUGAUAAAUUUUAUUGCAUCAAAACUACUGAGAACAUAUGCUAAUAAUGAACAUUUGGAAAUUUCCAGUCAGAUUCCAGUGUGAAGGCUAUAUAAGAUGAAGACCAAUCACAUAAAACAGACAGGUAAUUUUCAGAAUCAUAAGGUCUUGAUUCUACCUAAUACAUCUCAAAGAACAUGUAAAUAUACAAAUCCUCAGUAAUAUACCACUCUGCGAUAUAUAAGCACAGUUUACAUUGCAGUUUUUCAGGUUACAAGACAACAACAGAACACAACAUACCAAAUACUACACAGGAGACAGAAAUAGUGAGAAGUGAUCAACAUUUGUGAUAAAUAGUAAACAGAAACGCAACAAUAGCAUAACGUUGAACUAAGUUUAGACUGUAUCACAACAAAUUACAGUUUAAUACUUGAAAUAUAUACUUACAAGUCUCUUUCGGUACUUUCCAAUUGAGAUAGAUCCUCCCGUGUGAGUUCCAGCAGCACUUUUUUGCCUCCACGAUGAUUCUGUGCAUUUAUUUUGGACUUUUCAACACACUUUGGAUCUGCCCAAAGUUGCUGCCAGCUUUCCCAGACAUCUUCAUGUAUAAAAUCUUGCCUAAUUCCUUUUUCUUUGAUUUUAGCAAUGAAAUUUCUAUACACAG